UUUUUUUUUUUUUUUUAAUUUUAAGAUUUAUUUAUUUGAGAGAGAGAACACAUACAAGUUGUGAGGAAGGGCAGAGGGAGAGAGAAUUCAAAGCAAACUCUCCAUGGAGUUUGGAGCUCUAUGGAAGGUUUGAUCUCAAGGACUCUUACAUCAUGACCUGAGCCAAAACCAUGAGUCCAACCCUCAACCUACUGAGCCAUCCAGGUACCCCUCCCACCAUUCUUAUUCAAACUUUCAUAGUUCUAGUUUUCACAUUGUGUUUUACUUUACGAGUCUGUCUUCCCCACUAGAUUCUGAAUUCCUUAAAAGCUGGAACCAAGUUUUAAUCUUCUUUUAAUCCAUAUUUCAACAGCCUUCCUGAUAUAUUCAACUCUGGCAUUUCUUGUUUACUCAUCUUUAAUGAUGGUUUGAGGAAACUUUUUUCUUUUCAAAUUUUUAUUUAAAUUCUAGUUAAUAUAUAGUUUAUAUAUUAACUAUAUAACUAUAUAGUUAGUUAAUAUUAGUUUCAGGAGAACUUAUUGACUCAUCAGUUAUAUAUAACACCCAGAGCUCAUCAUAACAAGUGCCCUCCUUAAUAGUCCACAUCCAUUUGGCCCAUCCCCUCCACCUGCCUCCAUCAACCCUCAGUUUGUUCCCUAUCUUUAAGAGUCUCUUAUGGUUUGCUUCCCUCUCUUUUUUGUUCUUCCCAUUGGUUCAUCUGUUUUGUUUCUUAAAUUCCACAUACAGUAUUUGUUUUUCUCUGAUUUAUUUAGCUAGGCAUAAUACAUUCCAGCUCCAACCACGUCAUUGCAAACGGCAAGAUUUCAUUCUUUUUGAUGGCUGAGUAAUAGUCCACUGUAUAUGUAUCACAUCUUCAUCCAUUUAUCAGUCAAAGGACAUCUGGGCUCUUCCAUAGUUUGGCUAUUGUUGAUAAUGCUGUUAUAAAUAUCAGAGUAGGAGCACCUGGGUGGCUCAGCUGGUUGGGCAACCUGCUCUUGAUUUCAGCAGGUCAUGAUCUCAGUGUUGUGGGAAUGAGCCUGACAUUGGCUCCAGGUUCAGUGUGGAGUCUGCUUGUCCCUCUUCCUCCCCACCACUAGUGAGCUUUGCUCUCUUUUGCUCUCUCAAAAAAAUAAAUGAAAUAUUCAAAAAAAAAAAAAUCAGGGCGUGUGUACCCCUUUGAAUCUGUAUUUUUGUAUCCUUUGGGUAAAUAUCUAGUAGAGCAUUUGCUAGGUCAUACAGUAGUUCUAUUUUUAACCUUUUGAGGAAACUCCAUACUAUUUUCCAGACUUGCUGCACCAGUUUGCAUGCCCACUAACAGUAUAAGAGGGUGGGGAAAACACUUCAGGCUACUUGCCCAUUUUUGUGGUUUAUUUAAAACUAAAUCAAUAAUAUGAUCUACAAUUACACUUAACCAGCCACACUGUAGUAUGUUACCAUACACUGAUGCAAAUAAUUAAAGGAGAUUAGUUAUUUCGGUUCUUCCAAGUUUUGAAACUCCCACUCUUCCCUUAGGAUACUUCAUUUACUACUUGUGACAUGUGUUUAAAUUAUGAGUGCAAACAAAGGACACCAGUGUCAACCUGUAUUUUUGAAAAAAUUAAUGAAACAAAUUUUUCCCAUGUUAGAUAAAAUACAAACCAAACUUCCAAUAUUUUUUCUGCACUCUAGUGGAUCAUAUUGCACACCCCAAUGAAGUACAUAUACCACCACUUUAGAUGUCAUUGGUUUAGACAUGAGGUAAUGAACACCUUGUCAGCCACUAGGAAAAAAAAAAAAUUAAAACGCAUAUCAUACUACCUACUAUACCAUUUUUAUAAAGGGUUUGUUUAUUAAGCUAUAAAUUUUGGAGAACACUUCAGGUAUUCAGUACUUUGUAUGAUUUUUAAAAUACUGCUUUCAUAACACUUUGUACUGGAAUAAGUUAGUGUAGGUGGCAGAAAAAGAAAGCAUUAAAAGUUGAUCUAGAACUCUUACAGAAAGACCAAACCUCGAAAUUAGAAUUCAGGUUACUAGGUACAGGCUGGAAGUGAACAUUUAAAAGCACUCUGGAUUCCUCCUUGGCAUUUCACCACACUUUGCUUAUUCAAUUUCUGUUUUACCAGAUUAGUCACAAACUCCCGUGACAGCAAGGGCUAUCUGUCUUGUUGCCUGCCAUAUUUCUAGCCACAAGACUAAUGCUGUAUGGCACAUAGAUGUCCAAAAAAUAUUUACUGAAUGAAUGCAUAAAAGAAUGAAGUGGUGGGCAGCCCCAGUGGCUCAGCAAUCUAGAGCUGCCUUCAGCCCAGGGCCUGAUCCUGGAGACCCGGAUCGAGUCCCGCGUCGGGGACUCUCUCUCUGUGUCUCUCAUUAAUUAAAAAAAAAAAAAAAAUCUUAAAAAAAAACAAAAACGAAGUGGUAUAAUUGAAGUCAUGAUUAAGAAACUAAUGAAAGAAAAGAGAACAAAAAAGUGCUAAACAUUCAACUUAAAAAAUAUGUACAGUAAAGCCAUCAGAAGUGCUAGCAGAAUAGAAUGCGCAAGUCCAGGAGGUAGAGGGAAAACCAGGAAAUUAUAAGGGUCUCUAAAGGAGUGCAUCGUUGGAAAGGUGGUGACUAGUCACUGUGAAGUCUGAGAAAAAGCCGAUGAGUUAAUCAAGAGGAUAACUGGCAACCUCAAGAAUGCUAUUUAGGUAUAGUUAUAGCAGUGUAAGUCAACUGCAUUCAAACAGGGAAGAAAUGGAUAGUAAGGAAAUGGAAGUCUUAUGAUUUUGUCAGUGAAACAACAGAAACAGUAUUAUAGCCCGGAAGGGCUCAAUAGGAAGAAGUGAACAGUUUGUUGUUGUUUUCAAGUUAGGAAGAUCUACAUGUUUGAGGAAGAGGAUUCAGAAUUUUUUCCUUUAAUGGUGGACACAGUCUUGUGAUCCUAAAAUAGAACAAUUAUGCCAUAGAUUAUGGCAAAUAUACCUAUUGUGAAAGUAGACGUCUAGAAAAAAGUGCUUUUCUAUAUAAAAAUCUAAAAUGGACAGUAAGUGAAAAACAAGAUUCCUGAUUACACAUUUCCUUAUUUCUGGGAAAACAGAUGACAGAUACAUGAAGUGGUUUCCGUCUUGGAGACUCAUUCUUUUGGAGUUACCUUAGAAAGAAGCAGUUGCUUCUGUCACCACCACAAAAAAAAAAAAAAAAAAAAAAAAAAA
rnacentral:lncRNA from 1 species